rnacentral:rRNA from 1 species
GACGAACGCUGGCGGCGUGCUUAACACAUGCAAGUCGAGCGAUGAAGUUCCUUCGGGAAUGGAUUAGCGGCGGACGGGUGAGUAACACGUGGGUAACCUGCCUCAUAGAGGGGAAUAGCCUUCCGAAAGGAAGAUUAAUACCGCAUAAGAUUGUAGUAUCGCAUGAUACAGCAAUUAAAGGAGUAAUUCGCUAUAAGAUGGACCCGCGUCGCAUUAGCUAGUUGGUGAGGUAACGGCUCACCAAGGCGACGAUGCGUAGCCGACCUGAGAGGGUGAUCGGCCACAUUGGGACUGAGACACGGCCCAGACUCCUACGGGAGGCAGCAGUGGGGAAUAUUGCACAAUGGGGGAAACCCUGAUGCAGCAACGCCGCGUGAGUGAUGACGGUCUUCGGAUUGUAAAGCUCUGUCUUCAGGGACGAUAAUGACGGUACCAAAGGAGGAAGCCACGGCUAACUACGUGCCAGCCGCCGCCGUAAAAC